rnacentral:lncRNA from 1 species
UCCUGCUGAGUCAUGGUGAAGAUCCUGGCUGGAGCUGAUGGACCUUCACCUCGGGAACCAGAAGAAGAGGCUGCCCCUCUCCCUCUACCUCUGCCACUGCCCUGAGUUGUGGCUGGAGCUGCUGGCUGUGCCACACUACCAGAAGCUGUCUGCUGGGGCUGGCCCAUAAAAGGCGCUCUAGGACACUCCCGAGCUAUGUGUCCCUCCUGUCCACAUCUGAAACAUGUAUUAGUCCCAGCUCGACACACUCCCCUGUGCGGUCUUCCACAUCUCUGGCAUUCUGUAC